rnacentral:tRNA from 1 species
AAAGCUUUAAGUUAAAAAAACUAUUAACCUUCAAAGUUAAAAAUAUAAAUUAUUGUAAGCUUUA